rnacentral:rRNA from 1 species
UACGUAGGGGGCUAGCGUUGCUCGGAAUUACUGGGCGUAAAGCGCACGUAGGCGGCUUCUUAAGUCGGUGGUGAAAUCCUGGAGCUCAACUCCAGACCUGCCUUCGAUACUGGGAAGCUCGAGUCCGGGAGAGGUGAGUGGAACUGCGAGUGUAGAGGUGAAAUUCGUAGAUAUUCGGAAGAACACCAGUGGCGAAGGCGGCUCACUGGCCCGGGACUGACGCUGAGGUGCGAAAGCGUGGGGAGCAAACAGG